CAGCUGCCCAACGGGGUCCUGCAGAAAAGGCGGGCAUCGUGUCUGGAGACGUUAUUUUGGCAAUUGACGAUGCAAGUGCGCAAGACAUCUGGGUCCUGAGAAGCUCAGUAGAUUUGACUAUUCUCGGUGGAGCUGAUACCAGACAUUUUGUUUUGAAGAGAGAAAGAUAUACUUUA